GCAGCAGGGCUGCAGACAGCAUACUGUGGGCAAGACUGAGCCCAGGAAGGGUUGUUGAAGACUGGGGCAGCAAAGAAGGAGCUCCUGGCUGGCUUCAGGGACCGAACAAGGACUGAGCCCAGAACCUAGCCAGACCAACUUAGGGCACCACAAUGGGCCCUGCUGGGCUGUUUUAUAGAGGGCAGUGUCUCCAAGGAGGAAGCCUGGGCAGAAGGUAAAGACUGUAUACCCUGGAAGGGGAUUGCUCUGUUCCACCUAGAGACAGUGUGUGUGACUAUGCUGGAGGGCUAAGCCACUGAAGACCUGCUCAAGAAAUCAUUGGCUGGAGGGUCUCAUGAGAGACUCCCAGCAGCCAGUGCUCCCAAUUCUAAUCAUUACAAGCAACAUCUGAACACCACACCCGGCUCUACUGGGAAUAACACCAGGAAGGCAGGAAACUGUACAGCCUGGAGACACUCUAGUCAGAACGGAGUGAGAUGCAUGUCUCCAGCCAAGAAAGGCAAUGUCGAGAGUUGGAAGCCUGAGAAUGGAUGUCCUUGCUGGACCACUGAGAGGAAAAAACUGGUGCAGUUGCUCUGACAUGAGACAGCACUCAGGAUACCACACAAUGGGAGAACAGCUUGUCUGCACCUUGCAGGCCUUGAUUUGUGUGAUUAGUUAAUGGGACUCCACAUCUGACAAAAGCAUUGCAGCAUCAGGACCUUCGUUUGCAUUAUAGGGAACAAGACCUGUUCGUUUUAAAGCUUAGAAAAUCCUCAAUCUCUUAAUUUGAAAUUUUAAAAUCAUCCGGUUUCUGGUUUAAAAUGUGCAAACUGAUUUUUCAAUCUCUCUGGCAUCUUCAUGCUAGAUUACUACUGUUUUUCUUAAGGUGGGUGAUUUGGAAAAUGGCAUAAUUGUGUUAACACAACAUUUUUAGUAAGAGCCCACAUUUUAAAGGCAAAUCUAGUUGCUUAACAUGCUAAAAUAUACUUUCUUUUCUUCUA